UACGGGGGGAGCAAGCGUUGUUCGGAAUUACUGGGCGUAAAGGGCGCGUAGGCGGUCAGGUAAGUGAGAUGUGAAAUCCUCCGGCUCACCCGGAGAAAUGCAUCUCAUACUGCUUGACUAGAGUGCGGAAGAGGAAUCGGGAAUUCCAGGUGUAGCGGUGAAAUGCGUAGAUAUCUGGAAGAACACCAGUGGCGAAAGCGCUCUACUGGGCCAUAACUGACACUGAGGGACGAAAGCUAGGGGAGCGAAAGGG
rnacentral:rRNA from 1 species